CCAUUGGGCUGGUUUUGGUUGGCCAUUGGGCUGGUUUUGAUUGGCCAUUGGGCUGGUUUUGUCAUACAGACAUGGCAGGCCAGAACAGACUGCAUU